rnacentral:rRNA from 1 species
AACGAACGCUGGCGGCAUGCCUAACACAUGCAAGUCGAACGAGACCUUCGGGUCUAGUGGCGCACGGGUGCGUAACGCGUGGGAACCUGCCUUUAGGUUCGGAAUAACUCAGAGAAAUUUGAGCUAAUACCGGAUAAUGUCUUCGGACCAAAGAUUUAUCGCCUUUAGAUGGGCCCGCGUUGGAUUAGCUAGUUGGUGGGGUAAAGCCUACCAAGGCGACGAUCCAUAGCUGGUCUGAGAGGAUGAUCAGCCACACUGGGACUGAGACACGGCCCAGACUCCUACGGGAGGCAGCAGUGGGGAAUAUUGGACAAUGGGCGAAAGCCUGAUCCAGCAAUGCCGCGUGAGUGAUGAAGGCCUUAGGGUUGUAAGCUCUUUUACCCGAGAUGAUAAUGACAGUAUCGGGAGAAUAAGCUCCGGCUAACUCCGUGCCAGCAGCCGCGGU